rfam:Eutrema salsugineum unplaced genomic scaffold scaffold_1, whole genome shotgun sequence.
AAUCCAUGGUGAGGGCAAUCACGUUCAUGCUCCUUAAAAUGUUCCCAGGCUUUAUAGAAAGAUUCAGUUAGCCCUUAUUGAAAGUUUGAGAUCUUUGUUCUCAACU